ensembl:antisense
AGUAAACAGUGGAUGUGCAGUUCCUCUCUUCGCCGAAUCCUGUUUUCCCUUUCUGCGGAGCAGUGCGACCGAUUUCCGGUUUCCCCGCCGCAACCACCGUUACACCCCCCCCCCCCCGCCCCAAUCCCCGGCGACUCCAGCGACGUCACCGGUUCAGCUCCUGACCUUUCGGCGAACCGCGGAACCACAGGCGACCCGUUCGACGUCAUCACUCCCCGCCCAGAUGUCGCUGUGACAUCACGCAGCACGUGCCUGCGCUGGCACCGCGUCGUCCUGGCGAGCGCCUCCUCGCGGCGGAAGAUCCUGGGGUUCGCUGUGCGAGACAUGUCGGCGGGGUUUCACGUGAGUGACACUUGGUCCCCACGGGAUUGACAGCGACUAGCGGAGUGACAUGUGGACGUAGCUUCAGGUGAGUGACCUGUUUUUUCCCAAGAGGCACUGACAGACAGGCCAGGGAUGGAGCCUGAGCGAGGGCUGGGCGUGGCUGAGCGUGAGUGACAGGGGCCUGGGGCGGGGUCUUAACUAAGCUCCUGCAAGAGACAUAGAUUUGCAUGGGGUCUAAGUUUCAUUGCUGCUCGUUUGCAUGAAUUUGAGUGAAUUUGAAUAGCUGCUUGGUUUUGUUCUACCCAGGUUUAUAUAACCUCCCCUGACCUGUAUAAAUUAGCAUAUCGUGUACGUUGGGAAUUUGCAUACGCUCAUGUGACAUCAGUUUCGCAGGAUGAAAAUUUGCAUAAAUUUGCAUGAUGACAGCUCCCCUGAGUAAAUUUCCAUAAACAUGAACAAUGUUAUGGCUUUACUCUGCAUGUAUUUGUCAUGUAAAUUUGCAUGCAUUUGCAUAAAACUGCAUGACGUUAUGACUUUUCCUGAGUUCAGAUGAUGUCACAGUUUCCCUCACCAUUGACACGUGUCCAGAUGAUGUCAUCACCCUGUGACACCCCCCCCCCCCCGCAUUUGUAUAUAUUUUCCUGACGUCCUGGCUGGGGGCGUGCCAAGAGUGAUUGACGUCAUUGUGGGCAGGGCCUUGACGCGUGUCUGACCCCACCCAUUCACCCCUUCUCCCCACCCCAGGGCCUGGCCUUCAUGGUCGUCCAUCCUGCCUUCCCCGAGAUGCUGAGCAAGGCCACCUGGCCCUGCCUCCAGUACUUUGCCGCGAGGGAGGUGGGGGACAAAGGUCAGUGGGAAGGGGCCUCAGAGUAGCUACUUUCAUCUUUUUAGGAAGAUGGGCGUGGUCUGUUGGUGGCCGUGCCCACUGUAAGUGGCAUCAUGAUUGCAGUUCUGAGUUUGGGAGAAGAGGGUGGGUUCUGGGGAUGAUGGGAGCGGGGCAAUGAGGUCACCACACCAACCACAAGUGAUGUCACUUCCUGCUUUUUGGGAGCUUUAUGGGCAAGACAUCAGGAUAGUGGGUGGGGCCAGGCCCACUGGAAGUGAUGUCACUUUCAGGAUUUCUGACUUGUGGGUGGGGCUUCUGUGAGGGGCUGCCAGGAAGUCUGGUAUGAUGUCACUUCCAGCCCCACCCGCCCCUCCCCCAAGAAGACCCAGAGACCUUGACCCUGUGGUGGUGUGUGGCCCUGCCCCUUCCACACCCAUUGCAGGCCUCGACCCUUUUCAUCUUAUUCCCGCCCACUUCCCAACACCAUUGCACACUUCCAGCCAAGCCCACUGUGCCUGGCCAUGCCCUCCACUUCCUGUCCCGCCCAUCACCUCAGGCCCUGCCUGCUUACUUCCUGUCAUGCAAAUUGGUGCCAAGGCGACAUAGGAAUUUAUGCAAAUCUAUUCAGGUGACCUCACUGACUCCACCCCUUGUGAAGACCCCACCACUGACCCACAGGCCUUGGAGGGGCUGAUCCUGGAGAAGCCAAAGGACCAGGAGGACGCCAUGGGGGUGCUGUACAGGCUGAGCAGGAAGCAGAGCAGCACAGCGUCAUCAUGAGGGUAGCCAUCUUCACCUGGGGCAUCCACGGAGGCCCUGCCCAGGAAGUGACUUUCUCUCCACUGUAGGAGGAGCUGAUCCACGACUACUUGGACACCAGCACACCAGCGAAGGAUGGGGGCAGCAGGAAGUGAGCCGGAAGAAAAGUGUUUUGAAACUGACCCUACAAAUAAAAGAGUUCAUCAUGAAUGCGAUACCCUCCUAUACAGUUGUUAGAAGCAACCCUCCAUCUCCAACUCCAAAAAUAAAUGAAAACCAAACCACACAGUUGGAAAUCAGGGGUCUGCAACAACACAAGGAAGCAAGCAACCCAUGAGAAAACACUGGCAUGGAUGGAAACAGACUCACUGGAAAGAUGCAAAGCAAUGUCAGGUUACACAACAAAAGGCAAUUACAGUCAUAUGAGGGAGUGUUCGAAAAGUUGUAAUUUGAAAACUGUUUUUGGUUGUCCUUUAGUCGGCCUCCUCUGUAAAUUGUGACAGACAUCUCCUGACAACACUUAAAGCAUCUCAAACCAUCCUUGCCCUGAUCUGAGUUCUCAGAACAGAAGGACUACUGAGCCAGGCGUGGUAGCACAUGCCUGUGAUCCUACAACUCAGAAGACAGAAGAGGAAUUCUAGGUCAGCCUGGGCUAGACAGACAGCAAGACUCUUGUUUUGUUUUGAAAGGCUGGUGAGGUAGUUCAGCGGGUUAACUGCCUGGUCUAAGCCCAGUGACGUGAGUUUGUGUGCUGUGGAGCUUCUGCAAACCCUGCCCCUGCCAAAUAAAAACUCGUAAUUUAUAACUCA